rnacentral:rRNA from 1 species
UACGAGGGGGGCAAGCGUUGUUCGGAAUUAUUGGGCGUAAAGGGCGCGUAGGCGGUGCGGUAAGUCACCUGUGAAAACUCUGGGCUCAACUCAGAGCCUGCAGGCGAAACUGCCGUGCUUGAGUGUGGGAGAGGUGCGUGGAAUUCCCGGUGUAGCGGUGAAAUGCGUAGAUAUCAGGAGGAACACCGGUGGCGAAGGCGGCUCUCUGGACGGUGACUGACGCUGAGACGCGAAAGCGUGGGGAGCAAACAGG